rnacentral:rRNA from 1 species
AAUCAACGCUGGCGGCGUGCCUCAGACAUGCAAGUCGUACGAUUAAAGCUCUCUUCGGAGAGUGUAUAGAGUGGCGCACGGGUGAGUAACACGUAAGUAAUCUACCUUCGAGUGGGGAAUAACAGUCGGAAACGACUGCUAAUACCGCAUAAUGCAGCGGCACCUAAUGGUGACAGUUGUUAAAGCAUUUAUGUGCUUGAAGAGGAGCUUGCGGCAGAUUAGCUAGUUGGUAAGGUAAUGGCUUACCAAGGCAACGAUCUGUAGCCGACCUGAGAGGGUGGUCGGUCACACUGACACUGAAUAACGGGUCAGACUCCUACGGGAGGCAGCAGUCGGGAAUUUUGGGCAAUGGGCGCAAGCCUGACCCAGCAACGCCGCGUGAAGGAUGAAAUCCCUCGGGAUGUAAACUUCGUAAGAAUAGGAAGAAUAAGUGUAGGAUAAUACCCUGCACUGAUGACGGUACUAUUCGUAAGCUCCGGCUAACUCCGUG